rnacentral:lncRNA from 1 species
CUCCGAAAGACAAGUAUGUGUGGAACUGAUUCUGUGAGCAGACCCUUCAUUUUUAUUGGCGUCAUUACGAAUCCAAAAACAGGAAGAGGGAAAUCUGCAUUAGGGCCACAACAUUUAGGUCUUAAGAAUCAUACUGGAGACAAAAUGUAGGCACUGUCUGCUGGAAGUCACCGACAGAGAAAAGAAUCACUCAGGCGACGUGCAUGUUGUCAGAGGAACUAGUGAAAGAGGAAGAGAAAAUGUAGCACUGGAAAGUAACGAUGAUAAUCUAUUGCAUUGGAUCUCCAAACAUGACCAUGAUGUCCUGGAGAAGAUCACAGAUGCAGAAAAUGAAUGCUAAGGUUGAUAUCUAAUGAAAUGCUGCAUUAAUUGGCAUCUUCUCCAUUAUUUCUUGUAGUCUGCUAUGAAAUUAGAUACUUUGGAAAACAAUGAAGGAGACUCAAGCAGAAAUUACAAGAGCUUUAUUUCUAUCUUUAAUGGGUCUUGCAAGUUAUUGUUUUCACAAACAAAGUGUUCAGAAUAUUAUUGUUUAAUGAAGUUCAGUUAAUCAGGUUAUGUAACUUUUUUUGGUAAAUCGAUACUGAUUUUAAUACAUAAUUCAGAUGUAGGUAAUUUAGGUAUGGUAUCUGCAUUUGCUGAUUUUACCUAGUCUAUUCUAAAUCUUCUAUUGCACUAGAUUAUCAAAGAGGUAUUAGUAAAAUGUUAUAUAAAGGGUGUUGGCAUUAAUCUUAACCCCAAUUAGAUGUGGGCUUUUCAAAAAGUUAAAAACAAGCCUUUACCCUCCUCUGUUUUCUUAUAUCUACUGAUAAUUAUAAUUAAAACAAAACAACACGACAAACCAAAAUGAAAGCAAGCAAACAAACAAAAUAAACAGCAACAAAAAAAGAAUGAAAAGAAUCACAUUGUUAGUAUAACCGGUAUUAAGCUCUGGGCCAGGUUGGAAAUGAAAUCAAUUUUUGGUACUUAUAACUGAUGGCAAAGAUUAACUCUAUGAAAAUAUGGUGUGUGUCUCUGACAAUGCAUAGGACAUCUAAUCUGAUCAUAAAUAUACAAUUAUAAACAAGAUGUAUCUAUUCCUGGAUGGUAAAAGCUUGAGGCGUAUAUAAAUACAUAUGUUUGUAUAUAUAUGGACUAUAUGGACAUAUACACAAGGACGUAUCAACCUUUUACCAUCCAAAUGCAUACAGAUCUUCAACAAUGAAAGCUGGGACUCUUUAAAAAAAUAAAAAUAAAGCAAGAUUGCUGUGAAUACAGUAUAUGCACUAGGUCUCCUGUAAAUGAGGAACUGUUUGUUAUCAUUUUCUGUGUUGAAAAACAGUCUCCAACAUGGAUCCCAAUGACUUUUAGAUGUUAAAGAAGAAAAUAGCAAUGAACAAACAGCCCAUAGAGGCUGUCUGAAUCACCAAAAUACGUCUAGUAAAAUAAAUUUAAAGCACAUGCAAGGAAAAAUAAAAAUGUGAAGUCAUUACAUUCAGUGAGAGAAUAUUAACUGAUAGAUAAAUGUCUACCACUUCUCAAGCAGAGGAUCCUUGUGACUCCAUGAACACUUCUGGUCAGUCUGGCAAACCUGCAAAUGUUUGGCUGUUUUAUUGGGGCAUCUUUUCGUUCAUGGAAGAAAUGCUUCCAUGGCGAAGGGAGUGGGAAUAGAAUAUCUAUGUUUUUAAAGGACAAACAAUAAAUUUAAGCAUGGGUGGCCUUAAUCCUUAGUAGUUUUUCUUUGCUGCUGUAAAAAAGAAAAAUCUAAGUGGAUACUCCUAAAGUCUUGCACUGAAUUUAGAAAAAAUAUUUUUUGAACCUGUGGUGCAAUUAACCCUAAACAUCCUACAUGAGCCAUACAUAUAGCCCUUUAAAGUGAUUGUCUAGAGAUGAUAUUUUAUUUAUUUGUACCAUAAUUCUUGGUGCAAUCAAAGAGCAAUUUAUUUGAGCAGGAGUCCUGCUGGAUGCUACUGUUUUCCAUAGAUAGAAAAUGUACAGAAUUAGUAUAGCAUAGAUAAUCCAAAUUUCAUUCAUGUUUAAAAAGUUUGUCCUUUAACUAUCAAUGGCAUUUUAGAUUUUUGUUUUGAAACAGCAAAGCUUUUGGGAGUAUAUUUAGCACAUAUGACAAAUGUUGCACUUGGAAACUCAGACAACAAAGCUUAGUUUCUUGUGACAAAUUUGUUGUCACAGUAGGGGACAAUCGUCUGUGUCUCUUACAAUCAGGUCUUAACCUUAACUCUGCAACUGAAUACUUGAAGUAGGAAAUAAACUAGGGGGAAAUAGGGUCAGAUGCAAAGCUGUAUAGUUAGAUAUUUAUAUGUAUGUGCCAAUUUUGUCACAGGUAUUACUUUAGGGGCAUUUUUGCUCCAUUCAUGUUGGUAAGAGUAUUGAUCUAAACUUUUAUCAGGGCCUACAGUUUAGCCCUAAGGAGGAAAACUCUGUCUAACAUUGCUUCUUUCUUUACCUUUCUUCUUCCUUUUCUUUUUUUCAUUUCAUGUGAUACUCUACGAUGUUUGCAGAAAAUCUUUUCAUAUACUAAAAUAGAAUCUCGGGGUUUACAAUAAACACUGUGAUGUUGGGAAAAUAUUUUAUUUCAGCAAUGUUUGGUAGUUUUUUUCCCCCUCAAAGUGUAAAGAAGCAAACCAACUUUUGGUUAACACUUAAGAUAAUGAUUAUUAUUUUAAUGUGAGAUCAGUCUUGUACUGCGCAUUCUUUCUUUCAUUUAAAUGUACAGUAUGAAUUUUGUAUUUAAUGAAUUUUGUGUAUCCAGUAUGCACGUACCUGCACAUUGACUUUCAUUUGAAAGUGAGUUCCAAUUUACUUUUUAAACAGUGUUUAUGAAAAGACCUCAGAUGUGUUGACACAAACUAUAUCUGCAAUGUUUUUUUUUUUGUGUGUGUAGGGUGACGUUUGAAUGUGAUGUUCUGCAGCAAUGGGUCAGUAUUCCCUAAUAACCUUAGAUCCUCAUUUGAUAGUGCUUCUUGUAAUACUUUUCUCAAGUGAGUGGCAUGUUCUGGAUUGUGAUAUUGAUAUGUGGUUAAGGAUAUUGAUAUGAAACUAAGGAAUUCCUAGAAAUUAACAGUGGGCAUGUAUUAGACAGUCAUUGUAAUUUAAUGUCUAGUAGAAGUGUAAAGUACUAAGGUAUUUAGAGUUCAUAACAUUGUUAUCAUGUGUAUGGGAAGUAUUUAGUGUUGAUCAUCUUGUUUAUAUUCAUCAAAUAAACUUUGUUUCUUUCUGAAAUCAGUGUUGUGUCAUUAAAACCACGUUUAAUGACUGUACGAAAAUGUGUGAGAGAUGUUUUCCACAUGGUAAAUCUAUCACACUCCUUAUUUCUCUAAUUGCUACCAUUCAAAGUAAUUUAUCUUCCUGUUGUUACUAUCACAUAAACUGUUUAAGAAAGCAUAACAAGGAAAAUGUCUCCUAGGCCCUGC